rnacentral:rRNA from 1 species
CCUACGGGAGGCAGCAGUGAGGAAUAUUGCACAAUGGGCGAAACCCUGAUCCAGCCACGCCGCGUGAAUGACGAAGGCCCUCGGGGCGUUAAGUUCUUUCGACAGGGGAGAAAAUGCCUAAAAGUAACCGUGUAUGUAUUGACGUUACCUGUAUAAGCAGCCCCGGCUCACUCCGUACCAGCAGCCGCGGUAAUACGGAGGGUGCGAGCGUUGUUUGGAGUGACUGGGCUUAAAGGGCAAGUGGGGGGUUUUGUAAGUCAGUAGUCAAAGACGAGGGCUCAACUGUAGAAAGGCUGGUGAUACUGUAAGCCUAGAGUAUAAGAGAGGAGUGCAGAAUUCGUGGUGUAGCGGUGAAAUGCGUAGAUAUCAGGAGGAAUACCGUUAGCGAAGGCGGCAAUCUGGCUGGAAACUGACGCUGAGGUGCGAAAGCGUGGGUAGCAAACAGGAUUAGAUACCCGGGUAGUC